rnacentral:rRNA from 1 species
AUACGUAGGUGGCGAGCGUUGUCCGGAAUUAUUGGGCGUAAAGCGCGCGUAGGCGGGAUAGUCAGUCUGUUGUAAAAGUGCGGGGCUCAACCCCGUAAGGUCAAUGGAAACUGCUAUUCUUGAGUGCAGGAGAGGAAAGUGGAAUUCCCAGUGUAGCGGUGAAAUGCGUAGAUAUUGGGAGGAACACCAGUGGCGAAGGCGACUUUCUGGACUGUGUCUGACGCUGAGGCGCGAAAGCCAGGGGAGCGAACGGGAUUAGAUACCCCGGUAGUCCUGGCCGUAAACGAUGGGUACUAGGUGUGGGAGGUAUCGACCCCUUCCGUGCCGGAGUUAACGCAAUAAGUACCCCGCCUGGGGAGUACGGUCGCAAGACUGAA